CUUCCUCUUCUUGGCAGGGGUGGGCGUGCAGUCCCGGUCUCCAUGAUGUAUGGAGGCUGAGGGAAAGGGCUCUGACCCCUCCCCAUCACGUCUUCGGUGCUGACAGUUUCGUCUGCAGGUUUUCUCCUCAAGCUCCGGGACAUGG